rnacentral:lncRNA from 1 species
CGCCUGGGGAGACUGCGCCCGGGAUAAUAGGAGCGCUUGGCCUCUGAGACUACCCGGCAGAAGGGACGUCCCCAAAUGACACUCGGAGGCCGCCUCCCUGGGCUCCGGUGCUCGGUGCCGGGAGGAGCGGCACGGCUUUCUACCCCGCCUCAGGUGCGCCAGCACGUUUUCUGGGCAGCAUCUGUGUGUUAGGCGACCGGAGAGGUGGGUUCCUUAUAGGGAAUAAGAAAACUGAAACUGACUUCCAACUGCAGGCAGAAGGAAGCAGUGGUCAUUGCUGGAGGUUAAAACUGUUCUGACCGGGCGCAGUGGCUCACGCCUGUAAUCCCAGCACUUUGGGAGGCUGAGGCGAGCAGAUCACGAAGUCAGGAGAUCAAGACCAUCCUGGCCAACAAGGUGAAACCCCGGCUCUACUAAAAAUACAAAAAUUAGCUGGGCGUGGUGGCGCGCGCCGGAAGUCCCAGCUACUUGGGAGGAUGAGGCAGAAGAAUCGCUUGAACCCGGGAGGCGGAGGUUGCGGUGAGCCGAGAUCGCGCCAUUGCACUCCAGCCUGGCGACUCAGCGAUACUCCGUCCCCCUCCCCCCGCCCCAAGAAAAAUCUGUUCUGUGGGGAGCGACAAGGAAGGAGCUUUCAGCCCGACGGGGGUCGCAGGGAAGAAUUCAAGAUGGCGUGUUUAGGAGCUCUAGCUCCUUGACAAAUUAGUAAAAUGUUCGUCUUAGGAGAAGAACGAAAAGGCUCUCCUAGGCUAAGAAACAGCAUACACAGUGAGAAACCUCAGAAGAAAUAAAAUUCAAGGAAGAUAGCAACAACGAAAACAUCAGAAGGAACACUAAAGUAGUCAAAUCAGCUUAGCAGAAACAAACUAAGUACGUUAACCAAUGGAAAACUGACGGAGAGAAAUAAACUGUUUUUGCACGCUAAAUGGAAAUGACUUUUGAAUUAUCUGCUUUGGAAGAUUAUCCAUGACACUGUUCUGCCCUGCUCUGCUCUAACAACAUUUGCAGAGAAAUAAUCGUGAUUCUGCUCACCUAAAG